ACUCUGUUUACAUUACAGUUGUUUAUUAGUUUACUCGUUUGUUUUGCGACUGAUGAAAUGCCGGCAUAUAUAUAUUUUCAACAUCUGACAUAACCCUGUAUGUUUUGCAGGGACAACCCAGGACGUGCAUUUCUCAGCACCCAGUCAACUGCCAAAAGUGACUCAAACACAGGCCACCAGUGGAACUCGGCUGUACCACUGCAGUGCUGCGGAAAUUGCCUUCACCAGCGGCUUUGCAACAGCUGUUUCGCAGCAUGUCGGAGACAAUGCCUACGAAAUUAUUGGCCCUGAUCAUGAGAGCCCUCAAGGGGCAAACAACAUCUCUGUUGCAGAAGUGAGCCCGGUACCACUUGGAAGUUACCAUGACAGAUGACACGGCAGCAAUAGAUACAGAGACUGCCACGUCUACUGCAGCUGCAACAGUGUACGAGGCAAGCAGCAGCGCGUCAGCAGCAGUGUCAGAAGGAACCACACCAGGCCUGGUAGAGCAACAUGUGUGCUAUCACUGACUUUUUUUGUAGUGGAUACAACUCAUUUGCUCAACAUACAAAAGCUUUUCACCACAACUGUGAGCCAGUGUUAUUGUGCAGCAAGUGCAAGACUAAGUUAAGUGUUAUAACACAGUACAAGCAUCACUUUAA
rnacentral:lncRNA from 1 species